CAGGGAUUGCCCUAGUAACGGCGAGUGAAGCGGCAACAGCUCAAAUUUGAAAUCUGGCCUCUUUGGGGUCCGAGUUGUAAUUUGCAGAGGGCGCUUUGGCGUUGGCAGCGGUCCAAGUUCCUUGGAACAGGACGUCACAGAGGGUGAGAAUCCCGUACGUGGUCGCUGGCCUUCGCCGUGUAAAGCCCCUUCGACGAGUCGAGUUGUUUGGGAAUGCAGCUCUAAAUGGGAGGUAAAUUUCUUCUAAAGCUAAAUACUGGCCAGAGACCGAUAGCGCACAAGUAGAGUGAUCGAAAGAUGAAAAGCACUUUGGAAAGAGAGUUAAAAAGCACGUGAAAUUGUUGAAAGGGAAGCGCUUGCAGCCAGACUUGCCUGUAGUUGCUCAUCCGGGUUUUUACCCGGUGCACUCUUCUGCGGGCAGGCCAGCAUCAGUUUGGGCGGUUGGAUAAAGGUCUCUGUCAUGUACCUCUCUUCGGGGAGAUCUUAUAGGGGAGACGACAUGCAACCAGCCCGGACUGAGGUCCGCGCAUCUGCUAGGAUGCUGGCGUAAUGGCUGUAAGCGGCCCGUCUUGAAACACGGACCAAGGAGUCUAACAUCUAUGCGAGUGUUUGGGUGUCAAGCCCGAACGCGUAAUGAAAGUGAACGGAGGUGGGAACCUUUCGGGGUGCACCAUCGACCGAUCCUGAUGUCUUCGGAUGGAUUUGAGUAAGAGCAUAGCUGUUGGGACCCGAAAGAUGGUGAACUAUGCUUGAAUAGGGUGAAGCCAGAGGAAACUCUGGUGGAGGCUCGCAGCGGUUCUGACGUGCAAAUCGAUCGUCAAAUUUGGGCAUAGGGGCGAAAGACUAAUCG
rnacentral:rRNA from 1 species